CACGUAGGCGGCUCUUUAAGUCAGGGGUGAAAUCCUGGAGCUCAACUCCAGAACUGCCUUUGAUACUGAGGAGCUCGAGUCCGGGAGAGGUGAGUGGAACUGCGAGUGUAGAGGUGAAAUUCGUAGAUAUUCGCAAGAACACCAGUGGCGAAGGCGGCUCACUGGCCCGGUACUGACGCUGAGGUGCGAAAGCGUGGGAGCAAACA
rnacentral:rRNA from 1 species